CCUACGGGCGGCAGCAGUGGGGAAUAUUGCGCAAUGGGCGAAAGCCUGACGCAGCGACGCCGCGUGAGGGAUGAAGGUCUUCGGAUCGUAAAACUCUGUCAGCAGGGAAGAACGGUCACUGUGCUAAUCAGCAGUGAAUUGACGGUACCUGCAAAGGAAGCACCGGCUAACUCCGGGCCAGCAGCUGCGGUAAUACGGCGGGUGCGAGCGUUAAUCGGAAUUACUGGGCGUAAAGCGCGCGUAGGCGGUAUGUCAAGUCAAGGGUGAAAGCCCCGGGCUCAACGUUGGAACUGCAUUUGAUACUGGCAGACUGGAGUGUGUGAGAGGAUAGUGGAAUUCCAGGUGUAGCAGUGAAAUGCGUAGAUAUCAGGAGGAACAUCAGUGGCGAAGGCGACUAUCU
rnacentral:rRNA from 1 species